UACGUAGGGGGCGAGCGUUGUCCGGAUUUACUGGGCGUAAAGCGCGUGUAGGCGGCUGGAUAAGUUGGGUGUGAAAGCCCGGGGCUCAACCCCGGGACGCCGCCCAAGACUGUUCGGCUUGAGGACGGAAGAGGGGCGUGGAAUUCCUGGUGUAGCGGUGAAAUGCGUAGAGAUCAGGAGGAACACCCGUGGCGAAGGCGGCGCCCUGGUCCGUUUCUGACGCUGAGACGCGAAAGCGCGGGGAG
rnacentral:rRNA from 1 species